rnacentral:rRNA from 1 species
CGGGGGAUCUUCGGACCUCGCGCUAUUGGAGCGGCCGAUGUCGGAUUAGCUAGUAGGUGAGGUAAAGGCUCACCUAGGCGACGAUCCGUAGCUGGUCUGAGAGGAUGAUCAGCCACACUGGGACUGAGACACGGCCCAGACUCCUACGGGAGGCAGCAGUGGGGAAUUUUUGGACAAUGGGCGCAAGCCUGAUCCAGCCAUGCCGCGUGAGUGAAGAAGGCCUUCGGGUUGUAAAGCUCUUUCAGGUGGAAAGAAAUAGCGCUGUUUAAUAGAUGGCGUUGAUGACGGUACCACCAGAAGAAGCACCGGCUAACUACGUG